rnacentral:rRNA from 1 species
UCCUACGGGAGGCAGCAGUGGGGAAUAUUGCACAAUGGGCGCAAGCCUGAUGCAGCCAUGCCGCGUGUGUGAAGAAGGCCUUCGGGUUGUAAAGCACUUUCAGUCGUGAGGAAGGUAGUGUAGUUAAUAGCUGCAUUAUUUGACGUUAGCGACAGAAGAAGCACCGGCUAACUCCGUGCCAGCAGCCGCGGUAAUACGGAGGGUGCGAGCGUUAAUCGGAAUUACUGGGCGUAAAGCGCAUGCAGGUGGUUUGUUAAGUCAGAUGUGAAAGCCCGGGGCUCAACCUCGGAAUUGCAUUUGAAACUGGCAGACUAGAGUACUGUAGAGGGGGGUAGAAUUUCAGGUGUAGCGGUGAAAUGCGUAGAGAUCUGAAGGAAUACCGGUGGCGAAGGCGGCCCCCUGGACAGAUACUGACACUCAGAUGCGAAAGUGUGGGGAGCAAACAGGAUUAGAUACCCUGGUAGUCCACACCGUAAACGAUGAAUGCCAGUCGUCAGAUAGUAUACUAUUCGGUGACACACCUAACGGAUUAAGCAUUCCGCCUGGGGAGUACGGUCGCAAGAUUAAAACUCA